rnacentral:tRNA from 3 species
AUGGAAAUCUCUGUAAUUUUUAAAUAGUAUAGGGGCGGAUGUAGCCAAGUGGAUCAAGGCAGUGGAUUGUGAAUCCACCA